rnacentral:rRNA from 1 species
CCUACGGGAGGCAGCAGUGAGGAAUAUUGGUCAAUGGACGAGAGUCUGAACCAGCCAAGUCGCGUGAGGGAAGACGGUCCUAUGGAUUGUAAACCUCUUUAGUCGGGGAGCAAUGCCGGGCACGUGUGCCCGGAUGGAGAGUACCCGCAGAAUAAGCAUCGGCUAACUCCGUGCCAGCAGCCGCGGUAAUCCGGAGGAUGCGAGCGUUACCCGGAUUGAUUGGGUUAAAAGGGUGCGUAGGCGGAUUUUUAAGUCAGCGGUAAAAUGUCCGGGCUCAACCCGGGCCGGCCGUUGAAACUGGGGGGCUUGAGUGGGCGAGAAGUAUGCGGAAUGCGUGGUGUAGCGGUGAAAUGCAUAGAUAUCACGCAGAACUCCGAUUGCGAAGGCAGCAUACCGGCGCCCGACUGACGCUGAGGCACGAAAGCGUGGGGAUCGAACAGGAUUAGAUACCCCUGUAGUC